AACGCGAAGAACCUUACCUGGGCUCGAAGCGCAGUGGACCGGGGUAGAAAUAUCCCUUCCCCUUAAAAGGCUGCUGCGGAGGUGCUGCAUGGCUGUCGUCAGCUCGUGUCGUGAGAUGUUGGGUUAAGUCCCGCAACGAGCGCAACCCUUAUCCCUAGUUGCCAUCGGGUCAAGCCGGGCACUCUUGUGAAACUGCCUCGGAUAACGAGGAGGAAGGUGGGGAUGACGUCAAGUCCUCAUGGCCUUUAUGUCCAGGGCUACACACGUGCUACAAUGGUCGGUACAGACCGUCGCAAACCCGUGAGGGGGAGCUAAUCGGAAAAAGCCGGCCUCAGUUCGGAUUGGAGUCUGCAACUCGACUCCAUGAAGCUGGAAUCGCUAGUAAUCGCGGAUCAGAACGCCGCGGUGAAUACGUUCCCGGGCCUUGUACACACCG
rnacentral:rRNA from 1 species